UUUCUCACUUGUGCUUUAUCUGGGGUUUGCAGCAUUCUCUCUUUUCUACCAGCUGAUAAAUUCUAAUGACAUUCAGAGAUCUGAGGAGAGUGUGGGUAAGAUGACACACCCUCUACGAAUGAGAGCAGAGCACACCAUGGGACAGUGGGGACUUCAAAUGGAGGGGAUCACAUUCCAGUCUAAAGUGGCUCAUGGCCCUGAUUUGUUCCACUCAAAACAAUGUGCUUCAGGUCAUGCAUCCAGUUUUAAACACGGAGUUCCCUUGGAGUCUGUGAACACUGAUGAAACUCUGUGGCCAGGCUGCCCUGAGUUGCCUGGGGCAAAAGAAAAAGGCAGAAAGGAAAUGGAGACAGGAAGAAGGAAUACAGAACCCAAAAAGUAGAAAUGACAAAAAGAAAGAAAAGUUAGGCAAAAUGAAGUAACAGCUACGUGACCUUCAGAAAGCUGGUUAAUGUUCUUAGACCUCAGUUUCCUCCUUUAUAAACUGAAAAUAAUGGCCCCCAUCUCAUGGGCUGUCCUCAGGACUAACUAAGUAUACUCAUGAAGCACCACGAAGUGCUAUGUGAAUGUAACGGCUAUAAAAGUUUGUCAUUCGGCC
rnacentral:lncRNA from 1 species